GACGAACGCUGGCGGCGUGCUUAACACAUGCAAGUCGAACGGAAAGGCCCUGCUUUUGUGGGGUGCUCGAGUGGCGAACGGGUGAGUAACACGUGAGUAACCUGCCCUGGACUUUGGGAUAACUUCAGGAAACUGGGGCUAAUACCGGAUAGGAGCUCCUGCUGCAUGGUGGGGGUUGGAAAGUUUCGGCGGUUGGGGAUGGACUCGCGGCUUAUCAGCUGGUUGGUUGGGUAGUGGCUUACCAAGGCUUUGACGGGUAGCCGGCCUGGGAGGGUGACCGCCCACCUUGGGACUGAGAUACGGCCCAGACUCCUACGGGAGGCAGCAGUGGGGAAUAUUGCACAAUGGGCGGAAGCCUGAUGCAGCAACGCCGCGUGCGGAAUGACGGCCUUCGGGUUGUAAACCGCUUUCGCCUGUGACGAAGCGUGAGUGACGGUAAUGGGUAAAGAAGCACCGGCUAACUACGUG
rnacentral:rRNA from 1 species